UACAGAGGGUGCGAGCGUUAAUCGGAAUUACUGGGCGUAAAGCGUGCGUAGACGGUUAUUUAAGUCGGGUGUGAAAGCCCCGGGCUCAGCCUGGGAAUUGCAUUCGAGACUGAAUAGCUAGGGUACGGUAGAGGGAAGUGGAAUUUCCGGUGUAGCGGUGAAAUGCGUAGAUAUCGGAAGGAACAUCAGUGGCGAAAGCGACUUCCUGGACCAGUACCGACGUUCAGGCACGAAAGCGUGGGGAGCAAACAGG
rnacentral:rRNA from 1 species